GUGUUCGCUUGACAGCACAUAUACUAAAAUUGGAAUGAUACAGAGAAGAUUAGCAUGGCCCCUGUGCAAAGAUGACACAUUCGUGAAGCGUUCCAUAUUUUA